rnacentral:rRNA from 1 species
AGAGUUUGAUCCUGGCUCAGGACGAACGCUGGCGGCGCGCCUAACACAUGCAAGUCGAACGAGCGAGAGAGAGCUUGCUUUCUCGAGCGAGUGGCGAACGGGUGAGUAACGCGUGAGGAACCUGCCUCAAAGAGGGGGACAACAGUUGGAAACGACUGCUAAUACCGCAUAAGCCCACGGGUCGGCAUCGACCAGAGGGAAAAGGAGUAAUCCGCUUUGAGAUGGCCUCGCGUCCGAUUAGCUGGUUGGUGAGGUAACGGCCCACCAAGGCGACGAUCGGUAGCCGGACUGAGAGGUUGAACGGCCACAUUGGGACUGAGACACGGCCCAGACUCCUACGGGAGGCAGCAGUGGGGAAUAUUGCACAAUGGGGGAAACCCUGAUGCAGCGACGCCGCGUGGAGGAAGAAGGUCUUCGGAUUGUAAACUCCUGUUGUUGGGGAAGAUAAUGACGGUACCCAACAAGGAAGUGACGGCUAACUACGUGCCAGCAGCCGCGGUAAAACGUAGGUCACAAGCGUUGUCCGGAAUUACUGGGUGUAAAGGGAGCGCAGGCGGGAAGACAAGUUGGAAGUGAAAUCUAUGGGCUCAACCCAUAAACUGCUUUCAAAACUGUUUUUCUUGAGUAGUGCAGAGGUAGGCGGAAUUCCCGGUGUAGCGGUGGAAUGCGUAGAUAUCGGGAGGAACACCAGUGGCGAAGGCGGCCUACUGGGCACCAACUGACGCUGAGGCUCGAAAGUGUGGGUAGCAAACAGGAUUAGAUACCCUGGUAGUCCACACCGUAAACGAUGAUUACUAGGUGUUGGAGGAUUGACCCCUUCAGUGCCGCAGUUAACACAAUAAGUAAUCCACCUGGGGAGUACGACCGCAAGGUUGAAACUCAAAGGAAUUGACGGGGGCCCGCACAAGCAGUGGAGUAUGUGGUUUAAUUCGACGCAACGCGAAGAACCUUACCAAGUCUUGACAUCCCUUGACAGGCAUAGAAAUAUGUUUUCUCUUCGGAGCAAGGAGACAGGUGGUGCAUGGUUGUCGUCAGCUCGUGUCGUGAGAUGUUGGGUUAAGUCCCGCAACGAGCGCAACCCUUAUGGUCAGUUACUACGCAAGAGGACUCUGGCCAGACUGCCGUUGACAAAACGGAGGAAGGUGGGGAUGAUGUCAAAUCAUCAUGCCCCUUAUGAUUUGGGCUACACACGUGCUACAAUGGCGUAAACAAAGAGAAGCGAGACCGCGAGGUGGAGCAAAUCUCAAAAAUAACGUCUCAGUUCGGACUGCAGGCUGCAACUCGCCUGCACGAAGCUGGAAUCGCUAGUAAUCGCGAAUCAGAAUGUCGCGGUGAAUACGUUCCCGGGUCUUGUACACACCGCCCGUCACACCAUGGGAGUCAGUAAUGCCCGAAGUCAGUGACCCAACCGAAAGGAGGGAGCUGCCGAAGGCAGGACCGAUAACUGGGGUGAAGUCGUAACAAGGUA